rnacentral:rRNA from 1 species
CACGUAGGGGGCAAGCGUUGUCCGGAUUCAUUGGGCGUAAAGAGCUCGUAGGCGGUUCGAUAAGUCGGGUGUGAAACCUCCAGGCUCAACCUGGAGACGCCACCCGAUACUGUCGUGACUAGAGUCCAGUAGGGGAGCGUGGAAUUCCUGGUGUAGCGGUGAAAUGCGCAGAUAUCAGGAGGAACACCAGCGGCGAAGGCGGCGCUCUGGGCUGGAACUGACGCUGAGAUGCGAAAGCGUGGGGAGCAAACAGG